rnacentral:lncRNA from 1 species
AUCCCCAUGGCCUUGUGCCUGCCCCACAAUAACAUCUAGGCGGUGAUAGGUCUUUAAAAAGAAUUCUCUAUCUUUCCAUCCCCCAGAGUACUUGCUGCAGGGCACAUUAUUAUUAUCCAGUAAUUGCUGAGGGGAGAAAAUGAGGCGGGCCUGGUCCUGGCAUUAGGUGAGGGUGUGCUGGAGGGGCACGGAGCGGGGUGUAGGUCUUGGUCCGAGGCUCCUGGGCACCUCGCAAUGCACCAGUGCUGACUCAGGGCUGCUCUAGCGCUCUCCUCUCGCACCCCAUCAACUGCCCCAGCCUUGGCCAGCUGAGCCCGUGCUGCCGGUUCUUCGGUCUCCUUGCGCAGGGACAGUUGGAACCCAAGCUGCUGCGGGCCCUCCCCCGCCCUCCUGGGCCAAGUCAGCAGUGCUGGCGGCUGCGGGGCUGCAGCGGCGGGCGGCGCAGGGGCCCUGCACCACUGCUCCGGGCUGCCGGCGGCGCGCUCACGUCCCGACGGCCACCUCCCGGCGGCUGCGCGCAGCCCGCGCCGAGACAGGACCCCGUCCCUGAUUGGUGCGUGAGUGAGACUCUGGCUUUGUUUAUACAACGAUUUCUUCACGACUCUACUUCACCGGAGUUGAGGGCUGGGGCAGGAGGCAGUCUUCCACGGCGCGAAGGAUGACAAACGGAGCUCUUGUACCGACUGCCUUCGGGCGGGCAUCCUUGGACGGGCCGUUUUCUCAAAUGCUUCUGUAUGGAGCACCCACCAGGUGUGGGGCGUGAUUUUUGGGAACCUCGGGAGAAGAACAAGAUGUGCAGCUCCUCGGAAGGGUUAGGAGGGUGAAGGCUUUGCGAGGAACCCAGGGAAGCCGUGUCCAGGGCCCUGGCUUUGGACUUCCUACUCUGAAUCGUGGACGCCAGUUUGGAAAGCGGGGCUGCCAUUCCAGUUGGGGGGUAAGGAAAGGAUUCCCAACUCAGGCAUCCUCUUGGGUGAGGGCAAAGGGACCCUCUGGGACCACACCCUUGAAUGCUCCCACUCAGGAUUCCUGGGAAAGCCUAUGGAGACAGUUUGGGGUACAAAGGCGGUGGGAGAAGGUUUUGUCCCCAGUGUCAUGGAGUUAGUUGUGGAAGGUUAAGGUUGGAUCCAGAGGAAGUCCAGCUUCCCCUGCAGAGGGAAGCUGAGCCAGCAAAUGUGGGUGGGGUGCAGUAGCUGCUGACCCUCCUGGGUGAUGUGAGGGGCUUAGGUGGCAGGAGCCAGGGGCCUAGGGACAGAGAGAGCAGCCCCAGGGGGUCCAGACUGCACCUUGUGCCCUGAAUAGCAGCCUCUGGUGCAGGUCUCAAUUAUGCCAGCAGCAUGAAAAUGCUGCCCGACUUGUCCCCAGGGGCUGGUUCCUUGGCAGAAGCCCUGUCUCCCGACAAGAUGGGAAGUGAUGUCACGCUGCGCACAGGAGCCUGCUCUUCUGGGGAUGUUCACGGGUGUGACACAGUUCAGAGACUGUUGCCUCUCACUGACCUGGACCUUGGACUUCCACAGGAACAGCCUUGGCACUGGCGGCCGCUUCUUCCCAUCGCUCGCGUUAGUGUCUUCACCUUGGAGGCUGCCCUGGGAGCCUGCAUUGCGCUGGGAGGAGGAGGGAGGUCGAAGCGGAGAAGGGGCAGGGGAUGGCAGGGGUCGUGGGGCCUGCAGACCCUGCUCUGUGCUGAUGUCAUUAGUUUUUUAGGCCUGUCCAGAAUGACACCAGGAGCCCUCCUGUUCAACCUGGGACAGGCACAGCACUGCGGCUGCCAGUCUUCCUGCCAAGGACAUGGGGACAGGCCGCUCUCCAGGGGACUGCCUGCACCCUCCAGGCAGAGCCAACUGGCCAGCCAAGUCCCUGUGGCUUCUCCGGGGACUAAGACAUAAGAAAAGAUCUGACUAAGGAUCAGAACCUGUCUUUCCUUUUGUGCAUGUGAACUUUAACCCCACAAAUGCAAGAUACUUAGAAAUCAUCUGGUCCAAGGCCCAGAGUCAGAGAUGAGGAUGGUGAGGCUCACAGAUUAACUGACUUGCCCAAGGACAUGGGACGCUCAGGGCAGACCUGGGAGUCCCUGGAAAAUGUUCCGACCUGGCAUGUGGGACAAGGAUGAAAUCAUCAGCC